CCAAAGGCUCUUUUCAGAGCCACCACACGUUCCAUAAAAGAGCUUC
rfam:Oryctolagus cuniculus chromosome 12, whole genome shotgun sequence.